rnacentral:lncRNA from 1 species
AGUUGGGGUACUUUUGCGCAUGCGCGUACUUUCUCGUGUGUUUGCAGUUUCAUUUUUAAUCUGACGCUGUAAAUAGCGCUCUUAAUAAUGCCAGGAUACUGUUGUGUUCCGGAAUGAACAUCGUCAACAGGAGGUCAUUCUUUUCCGAAAGACACAAAACUGAGUUACCAGUGGAGAGUUGCCAUCAAGGGGGUUUAUUCUACAUCAAAAACACUAUGGAAACCAAAGGCACAUGACAAUGUCUGUUUCCUCCACUUUCGUGAGGAAGAUUACACUUCUACAUGAGAGAAAAAGACUGAAGCCAGGAACGAUAGGGCCUACCAUCCAUAUUUCCAUUUAAUAAAGUGAAAGACGUACCAUCAUCACGUACUAGCCGUCUAGCUAAACGCCGCAAAGUAUCAGAUCCGGUGACAGUACCAACAGCUCCUGAUUAUAUUCAUGAAGUGGAGGUUGAGUCUCAAGCAGAUGAAGCAGUGGAAGACAAACAUGAAGACUGCCCUGGUGAGAGCCAAAAAGAAAGUACAGCUUCCCAGUGUGAUAU